GUGUAAAGGCUAUACUGGACUAUAUAAGGAUAAGCUUUGCAAAACCUUUCGACAAAACAAAGCAGAAAAGUUAAAAUCGCUCAGCAUACAGAAAGACAUACUGCAUAUCCAGGGAGAUCAUAUUUCUUUGAAUCAACAAAAGCAUGACCAACCUUCCACAUCUUUUACAUGAGGCGCUGCUCUCAAGGCUCAGACCAACACCAUUACAGUAGCAAGCCCAAGAACUUUAGCAUGCCACAAGAAUGGCCCUAUAUAUUUCAAACUUCUAUAGAAAAAUAGGUAGUAGAGGGGAAUAAAAAAAAAGACCACGGUAACCAUCAAAACAAAAGGUUCUCUACAAAAUGUACCCCAAAACCCGAUUCAGCAUUUUCAGUCUGCACACUUGACCAAAACACAAGCCUCAAAUACCUUCAUUUCCAUAAACAUAGAUACAGGCAUUUACCACCUGAGAAUUCCCUCAAUUGGUAAAACACACCGAGUAUAAUAACAGCCAAAGAGAGCGAUGCAUAAUCCAA